rnacentral:ncRNA from 1 species
UAGGAAAGUCGGGGCUCGGAUCCCCUCCCUGAGCUCAGGGUAACUUUUAAAGUAAAGGGGAC